rnacentral:rRNA from 1 species
UACGGAGGGUGCAAGCGUUAAUCGGAAUUACUGGGCGUAAAGCGUGCGCAGGCGGUUUCGUAAGUCUGUCGUGAAAUCCCCGGGCUUAACCUGGGAAUGGCGAUGGAGACUGCGAGGCUAGAGUUUGGCAGAGGGGGGGUAGAAUUCCAUGUGGUAGCAGUGAAAUGCGUAGAGAUGUGGAGGAACACCGAUGGCGAAGGCAGCCCCCUGGGUCAAAACUGACGCUCAUGCACGAAAGCGUGGGGAGCAAACAGGG